rnacentral:misc_RNA from 1 species
GCCCAUCAACGCUCGGUCACCCCGACCGCGUGCGGACAGUGGCCCUCCGAGCCGUAGAGGCACGGUGGGCUGAAGUGCAAGGCCGUCGACCGGGUUGGGACAGUAAAGUGGUGGGCUAUACAGCGCAGCGCGACCCUGACCCGUGUUGACCCCUGGCCCUUAUUGACCCCACAAUUAUGAUACCGUCGCUCCGGUGACGCAUUCGGACC